rnacentral:lncRNA from 12 species
CUUUGUUUAUUUUAGUAAUGUUUUAAUAUUAUUUUCAGCGCCUCUAUGAUUGAAAUGGUGGUGCCAUUUUACUUGUUUUGGACUGUUGUUUUUUAUUUCUGUGUUCCACCUGGAAUAAUCUGCAGUGGAAUAAUUUGCAACGAGCAACGGGGAAUUCAACGCGUUGGUCUGAUUGUGUAUGUGGAUUCUACGACAUCAAGAUCACGGUGUGCUACGGGGAUUCAACGCCUAGAACCAGCUGUGUUUGUGGAUUUAAUGACUAUGGCCCUAAGGUACACUGCACGCGAACUGUUGAACUUAAAACAGAACCCGUCUCGUUUAGCUAAAGACUCUUAUGAUCGUUGCCGUGACGCUGGCUUGCUACGUCUUAAACGGUAUAUUCACCGGGGUUCGAUGCGAAGCUUUACAGCUUCAUCUUCUCCCAGCAUUUGUAUUUCUACAUGCCGACGUAAGACUAACAAUCUGUUUUACACUGGUAUUGAUCAGCGUAAUUUAAUACUAGUACCCCGUGUGGAGAUUAAGUCAUUGUUGACUCCUUUUCAUAGCUCGGCUUAUGCUGCAUUAUUUAAUGCCCGCUCUGUGAAUAACAAGGCACUGUUCUUAUCGGAUUUUAUUCUGGACAAAAAGUUGGACUUCCUGUUUUUAACUGAAACAUGGCAUAGAGAAAAUGAUGGACUGCUGUUUAAUCAGAUCACUCCUGUUGGUUUUGGAACCUUAGAUCUUCCGAGGUUAUCUGGCAGAGGUGGAGGCAUUAUUGUGGUUUACAACCUGCAAUUCAAGAUAAGCCCUGUAUCUGUUUCCCAGUUUUCAUCAUUUGAAUGCCUAGUUCUGAGUAUUUCUGCUCCUACAUCUACCAUCAUUGCAACAGUCUAUAAACCACCUAAGACAACACAUGAAGCUUUUAUAUCAGAAUUUGCUGAGUUUCUGUCUAUGUUGAGCUUGAAGUUCCAUAGAAUUCUUAUUGUGGGGGACUUUAAUAUGCAUGUGGACCGAAGUGACUCUGCGGUUGCCAAGGAAUUUUUAUCGCUUCUUGACUGUCUUGACUUCUCACAGUUGGUAACAGGUCCAACUCAUUGUAAANNNNNNNNNNNNNNNNNNNNNNNNNNNNNNNNNNNN